AAAAGGAAGGGAAAGAGGAAGGGAAAGAGGAAGGAAGGAAGGAAGGAAGGGCAAUUGGUACUAAAUUCUUGUAGUGCCCAGGCACUCUUCCCCUAGUGGGCAGGGCAGAGAGACUGUGAAAGGUGGAGAUGAAGGAGAGCCAUCAUUUCACUCUUGAGAAAGGACGGAGCAGGCUGUGUGGAAGAGAUGAGAUCUGGGAUAAAUUGGAAAAGGUAUCAAAAAAUUAGGAGGGAAGAAAUAUUUUCAGCAAGUCUGCUACCACACUCCUCAAAUUCAACUAAGAGUGGUGAUUUAAUGUCAGAAAAGCUCCGCAUCCAGCCCUAUUAGCAGGGGCAGAAACAGACGCCAGGAGACACUGCCCACCUCCUGGGAAUCGGAAUCAGCCUUCACAGCACCAGGAGCCUGGGGUGGGCUGCUGUUUCUGUAAGGUUUUAAAAAGUCAGAGAGCACAGAGUUCUUCCGGAGCCUAUUCUGACUCCUCCUGAGUUUUGUUCACGUGAGAUAAUAUCCUCCUGGGAAAAAAUCUUGAUGGAAAGCCAAGGCCCCCCUGCUGGCUGCAAGAAACCGGAAUUCGGCCUUUUCGGCGCGCACCCGGACACGGCGCUGGGAUGAAGGCGCCCAGUUCAUGCCCAGCCAGGGCCUGCAGGGACAACGGGAUGGUCACAGGACGGCUGCCUCAGCUCCAAACAGCAACAUCUGAAGGAGAAAGCUGCAGGCCCGGACUGGAUGGCUUUGGCUAAGGAACCAACGCAGGUGGAGAAGGAGGCUGACGAUGGAGCCCAGGCACUCCAGCCUUGAAGGAGGAGAACCUGACCCUGAGCCUGCAUGGCAGCCGUGCGGGGGGACUUCGGGGGGUUUCCCCUUUGCUUCCAUCCAAAGAAAGUGCCCCACGUUUGAAAGCCUCUGUGCUGAAUGCUCCCAAUGCCCUCCGAUUCCAUCUAGGUCGUCCCUACCACCAAGGCAGAGCAAGAUACUAAAUGGAUGUCAUUUCUGGGCACUUACAUAAUUGGCUAAGGCUGGUCUCAGCGGAAAACAGCCGCUGGCCCUGUCCACACACACACGCGGACCCACGGGGCCACUUGGAAGUCGGACGCUCCUGGCCUGACACUGCAUUGUCUCCAGCAGAAUGAGAAACACAGCAGAGAGGGAAUGGUCAACCCCAGAGCACUGGCCACUUUGGGAAAAUGGACAUCUCCUCUCCUCUGGCUGAAGGAAAGUAAGAAGACACGGUGUUGCCCCAGGCUAUGUAGCCCACAACAAUUUUCCAUCCAAAUGCAUGAGCCCGGGUUCCCGAUGAAGACUUGGCUUCUCCUGAGCCCGGGGGUCCUGGCUGCUCUGGUGCCAACCCCUGGGUGUCUUUGAGCUGCAGAGGGCUUGCCACGUGCAUCCUCCUCCCUCUGCCUGAGCCACGAAGACCAGGCUGGACUAUGUUCCACAAAGACUUUUUCCCCUCAGGGGUCUCCUCCCAACAACACUUAACCAAGCUUUGUAUUCAACAAGGAACACAUUCCGCCUCCACCAAACCUCAUUGAAAACAGAGAGGUGCAUGGAUAACCAUGGCCAAAUCAUAACUGGUAUGCAUGCUCAUGGUUUUCUUUGAAAAUCUAACUGUCCUUUAAAAAUCUUUCCCACAUGAAGAGCCACAAUAAAUGACAAAUACAAAUUAUAAGUUUAUAAGGAAAGUAUGCUAGUAAGUGUAAGCAAAUUAAAAGGAUGUCCCAUAGGGUGGUAACAAC
rnacentral:lncRNA from 1 species